ACUCUAUGAGUACAACAGUACCUUUGACUUCCAAUCAAAUAGCUCUUAGCGAAAAUCUAAGAUAGAGUA
rnacentral:tRNA from 15 species